CCAGCUCUCUUUGCCGGAAUGGCUUAGAUCAAGUGUAGUAUCUGUUCUUGUUCAGUUUGAUCGCUGAAUACUCUAACAUCCAUCAAACUCUAUUUUUGGAAACCGGGCGGGAAGACGCAGGAUUCUUCGGCUGUGAGGGCCCCUCAUACUGUCCGGAGCUUGGUCUUCCUGUCCACUAUGUCGCCGGUAUCUUGCACUGCCUCCGGCUGACGCGACACCGU
rnacentral:snRNA from 1 species